CUGACACAGGGAGGUAGUGACAAUAAAUAACAGUGCCGGGCCUUUCUAGGUCUGGCAAUUGGAAUGAGAAAUAUUUAAAUCCCCUAUCGAGGAUCAACUGAAGGGCAAGUCUGGUGCCAGCAGCCGCGGUAAUUCCAGCUUCAGUAGCGUAUAUUAAAGUUGUUGCAGUUAAAAAGCUCGUAGUCGCAUUUCUGGCGAGAGGAAUUGGUCCGACAUUUAUUGUGGGUACUCGAUUCUCUCUCGCCAUCCUUGAGUGGUCCGUUCUGGCAUUUAGUUGUCGGAGCGUCAGCCGCUCAUCGUUUACUGUGAGAAAAUUAGAGUGUUCAAAGCAGGCUUAUGCCGUUGAAUAUAUUAGCAUGGAAUAAUAAGAUAGGACUUCGGAACUAUUUGUUGGUUUGCGUUACGAAGUAAUGAUUAAUAGGGACAGUUGGGGGUAUUCGUAUUUCGUUGUCAGAGGUGAAAUUCUUGGAUUUCCG
rnacentral:rRNA from 1 species